UUCCUCCGCCACCGCCGUUGCUGUGUGGGGGGGUGAGUGCGCGCGCGCGCACGCGCGUGUGGGGGGAGGGGGCAGCCAUGCCGAGGGGGCGGCCUUGCAAACCCAGCAGGGAGGACAACAAGACCGGCGCCGAGUCAGAUGGUGUUCUGACACUGAAUACAGAGAACAGUAAUUGUUCCUACCAAGUACCAAGCUUCCAUAAGUGUGAGAUCUGUUUGCUAUCCUUUUCAAAAGUGACACAGUUCCAGCGCCACAUGAGGGAUCAUGAACGAAAUGACAAGCCUCAUCGGUGCGACCAGUGUCCAAUGUCAUUUAAUGUUGAGUUCAACCUGACACUUCACAAAUGUACUCACAAUGGGGAAGAUCCUACAUGUCCUGUGUGCAACAAGAAAUUCUCCAGAGUGGCUAGUCUCAAAGCUCAUAUUAUGCUACAUGAGAAAGAAGAGAAUCUUAUUUGUUCAGAGUGUGGAGAUGAGUUUACUUUGCAGACCCAGCUGUCCAUGCAUAUGGAAGAACAUCGUCAGGAAUUGGCUGGAAGCAGGACUCACAGCUGCAAGUCCUGUAAGAAGGAAUUUGAGACUUCCUCACAGCUUAAGGAGCACAUGAAAACUCACUACAAAAUAAGGGUAUCCAAUACUAGAUCUUACAACCGAAACAUUGACAGAAGUGGGUUUACAUAUUCGUGUCCACACUGUGGAAAGACAUUCCAAAAACCAAGUCAGUUAACCCGACAUGUUAGAAUACAUACAGGUGAAAGACCAUUUACAUGUAGUGAAUGUGGAAAAGCCUUUAACCAGAAGGGGGCAUUACAGACACACAUGAUUAAGCAUACUGGUGAAAAACCCCAUGCUUGUGCCUUUUGUCCAGCAGCCUUUUCUCAGAAAGGCAAUCUUCAGUCUCACAUACAGAGAGUUCAUUCAGAGGUGAAGAAUGGCCCUACCUAUAACUGUACAGAAUGUAGCUGUGUUUUCAAAAGCUUAGGCAGCUUAAAUACGCACAUCAGCAAGAUGCAUAUGGGUGGUCCACAGAACUCAGCAAGCACUACUACAGAAGCAUCUCAUGUUACAACGGAUCCUGUGGCCCAGCCUCUAAUGACGUCUCCUGCUAACCUGAUGCAACCUGUUGAUAAUAAAUGGAAGAAUGCCACACAUUUUCGGUCUCCACUUCUUCAACAGACAGAAAACCAAGUAACUUCAGCUGCAGGUCAACAAGGGCAACAGGCUGUAACAGAUGUCAUCCAGCAGCUCCUUGAGCUGUCAGAGCCAGGUCCAGUAGAAAAUAACCAGCCCCAGCAACCUGGCCAGCAACUCAAUAUUGCAGUGGGACUCAAUCGAGACAUUUUGCAGCAAGCCUUAGAAAACAGUGGGCUAUCUUCAAUUCCAGUCUCAGCACAUCCUACAGACUGCAGCCAGGCUAAGAAUCCUACAACUCAGGAUCACAAUCCAGAUGUUCAGAAUCUUUCUAGUCAUCAAGCUGACCCUAAUAAUUCAGAACAAGAUAAAGAGCAAGAAAGCCCAGAUAAGAUGGAUAAAAAAGAGAAAAAGGUUAUAAAGAAAAAGUCACCAUUUUUACCUGGUUCUGUACGUGAAGAGAAUGGAAUAAGGUGGCAUGUUUGCCCAUACUGCUCUAAAGAAUUUAAAAAACCCAGUGAUCUAGUGCGCCACAUUCGAAUUCACACGCAUGAGAAGCCAUUCAAGUGUCCCCAGUGUUUCCGCGCCUUUGCUGUGAAGAGCACUCUCACAGCACACACAAAAACACACACUGGCAUUAAAGCUUUUAAGUGCCAGUAUUGUAUGAAAUGUUUUUCCACCUCAGGAAGCUUAAAAGUUCACAUUCGUCUGCAUACAGGUGUUAGACCUUUUGCUUGUCCUCACUGCGAUAAAAAGUUCAGAACAUCUGGCCACAGGAAGACUCACAUUGCUUCACACUUUAAACACACUGAACUUCGAAAGAUGCGACAUCAGCGUAAACCCGCAAAAGUUCGAAUAGGAAAGACCAGCGUUCCUGUACCGGAUAUUCCUUUGCAAGAACCCAUACUCAUCACUGAUUUAGGUCUUAUCCAGCCAAUCCCAAGGAAUAGCCAGUUUUUCCAAAGUUAUUUUAAUAAUAGUUUUGGAAAUGAAGCAGACAGGCCAUACAAAUGUUAUUACUGCAAUCGAGCAUAUAAAAAAUCUUGCCACCUUAAGCAACAUAUCAGAUCACACACUGGUGAGAAGCCAUUUAAGUGUUCUCAAUGCGGAAGAGGUUUUGUCUCGGCUGGAGUGCUAAAAGCGCAUAUUAGAACUCAUACUGGAUUGAAAGCUUUUAAGUGUCUUAUAUGUAAUGGGGCCUUCACUACGGGUGGUAGCCUCAGGCGACACAUGGGGAUCCAUAAUGAUCUUCGACCAUAUAUGUGUCCAUAUUGUCAAAAAACGUUCAAAACUUCAUUAAACUGCAAAAAGCACAUGAAAACUCAUAGGUAUGAGCUUGCACAGCAGCUUCAGCAGCACCAGCAAGCUGCUUCAAUAGAUGAUUCAACAGUAGAUCAGCAGAGCAUUCAUGUUUCCACUCAGAUGCAAGUAGAGAUUGAAAGUGAUGAGCUGCAGCAGCCAGAAGCUGUCACAACAGAUCAGGAAGCUAUUUUAGAACUAGACCAGCAGCAGGUGGUAACCACAGAAGAAACAGGACUGGGACAACAAUUGACUGACCAACCUUUAGAGCAAGAUGAAGAUAGGUUUGUGACAUCCCAACAUGCUUUACAGGAGAACAUCAAUCAAUUUGAACAGCAAACUUUAACACAGCAGUCAUUUGAUCAGCAAGGGUUAUCACAAGGUUUUACAGUGAAUGAUAGCUACAAUCAACAGAAUCAAUUUUCAGCUGUACAGCAGCUACAGGAUUCAAGCACACUUGAGUCUCAGGCUCUUUCAACAAGUUACCAUCAACCAAAUCUGCUUCAAGUUCCUAACCCAGAGACUAUUAAUGUGACUACUCGCCUCAUACAAGAUCAGUCACAAGAAGAACUUGAAUUGCAUGCCCAACGCCCACAGUUUCUUGAGGACAAUGAAGAUCAAAGCAGACGUUCAUACAGAUGUGACUAUUGCAACAAGGGUUUUAAGAAAUCCAGCCAUUUAAAGCAGCAUGUGCGAUCACACACUGGUGAGAAGCCUUAUAAAUGCCAGCUGUGUGGCCGUGGAUUUGUUUCCUCAGGAGUUCUUAAAUCACAUGAGAAGACUCACACAGGCGUUAAAGCAUUCAGUUGCAGCAUUUGCAAUACUGCUUUCACUACCAAUGGCAGCCUUACCAGGCACAUGGCAACUCAUAUGAGCAUGAAGCCUUACAAGUGUCCAUUCUGUGAUGAAAGCUUCCGAACAACCGUUCACUGCAAAAAGCACAUGAAAAAACACCAAACAGUCUCCUCUGCAGUAGCAGCCACUGGAGAGGCCGGAGGAGGAGUUGUAUGUGUGGAAGAAGAUGAAGAAAAUUCUGAAAGAACUGCUUCCAGAAAGUCUCGGCCUGGUGUUAUCACUUUCACAGAGGAAGAAACAGCAGAACUGGCAAAAAUUAGACCUCGAGAAAGUGCCACAGUCUCAGAAAAAGUUCUUGUCCAGUCUGCUGCGGAAAAGGACAGAAUUAGUGAGAUCAAAGAUAAGCAUGCAGAACUGGAAGCGGAGCCCAAAUACGCCAAUUGUUGUACUUAUUGUCCCAAAAGCUUUAAAAAACCCAGCGAUUUAGUCAGGCAUGUUCGUAUCCACACUGGUGAGAAACCAUAUAAAUGUGAUGAAUGUGGAAAGAGUUUUACUGUGAAGUCUACUCUGGAUUGCCAUGUAAAAACGCACACAGGUCAGAAGCUCUUCAGUUGUCAUGUAUGCAGUAAUUCUUUUUCUACCAAAGGGAGUCUAAAAGUGCAUAUGCGGCUGCAUACAGGAGCAAAGCCAUUUAAGUGUCCACACUGUGACUUACGGUUUCGUACUUCAGGACGCAGAAAAACCCACAUACAGUGUCACUAUAAACCAGAAACCAAGAGGGUCAGGAAGCCUGUGACCCGUACAUCUGCUGAGGGCCUACAACCAGUGAAUCUUCUUAAUUCUUCCACCACAGACCCCAAUGUUUUUAUCAUGAAUAACUCUGUUCUGACAGGUCAAUUUGAUCAAAAUUUGCUUCAGCAAGGACUUGUGAGUCAGGCGAUCCUUCCUGCUUCUAUGUCAGCUGGAGGUGACUUAACUGUGUCCUUGACAGAUGGUAGCUUGGCCACCCUUGAAGGCAUACAGUUACAGCUUGCUGCUAAUCUGGUUGGACAGAAUGUUCAAAUUUCUGGAAUAGAUGCUGCCAGUAUUAACAACAUCACAUUACAGAUUGAUCCCAGUAUUUUACAGCAGACGCUACAACAGAGUAACUUACUUGCCCAGCAUCUAACUGGGGAUCCCAGUAUGGCUCCGCAGAACAACUCCCUCCAGACAACAGACAGCACGGUGCCAGCUAAUGUGGUUAUCCAGCCCAUGUCAGGCUUGUCUUUACAGCCCACAGUAACAUCUUCAGCUAAUAUGACAAUAGGACCACUGUCUGAGCAAGACUCUGUGUUAACAACUAACAGUAGUGGUGCACAGGAUCUCUCUCAAGUCAUGACCUCACAGGGUAUGGUGUCCACUUCGAAUGGUCAGCAUGAGAUAACAUUGACCAUAAAUAACUCAAGUUUGAGUCAAGUUCUAGCUCAUGCUGCUGGUUCCACCACUACAAACUCAUCAGGAAGCCCACAAGAAAUUACCCUCACCAUAUCUGGUCAAGAUCUUAUUCAGCAUAAUUCUUCUGGAAGUAAUGAGUUGAAUGGGAGUUUACGACUGACAACACCAACAAUCAGCAAUCAAUCAACAGGUGCUACGUUAACUAUAAGCAAUGAUCAACUUCUGUCUCAGGGUACAUCACUGAACGCUUCAGAACUUAAUACUUCAAGUGGAAAUCUUCCUUCAACACCACCCAUGUCUCAAUCCACAGUUUCUGCUCAGAAUUUAGUAAUGUCUUCGUCAGGAGUUGGAGGAGAUGGUAGUGUCACCUUGACCUUGGCUGAUACUCAGGGCAUGUUAUCUAGUGGUCUUGAUUCAGUUACACUUAAUAUCACUUCACAGGGUCAGCAGUUCCCCGCUUUACUCACAGAUUCUAGUCUCUCCAGCCAAAGCGGUUCGGGCUCACAACAAGUCAUACUGGUGAGCCAUACUCCACAUUCAACAUCUACAAACUCUGAUGAAAUAACAUAUCAGGUGGCUGAGGUUUCUUCUAACCUGACUAAGGGCAGUCAAGUAGAAAAAGAGGGCCGUGUACACCAAUGUUUUGAAUGUAGUGAGACCUUUUCUUCAGCCACGAUGUUAAUGCACCACAGUAAAGAGGUUCAUGGCAAGGAGAGAAUUCAUGUGUGCCAUGUUUGCAAUAAAGCCUUCAAACGGGCAACACAUCUCAAGGAGCACAUGCAAACCCAUCAGGCUGGACCUUCACUAAGUUCCCAGAAGCCACGAGUGUUUAAAUGUGAUACUUGUGAAAAGGCUUUUGCUAAGCCAAGUCAGCUGGAGAGGCAUAGCCGCAUCCACACAGGGGAACGUCCAUUUCAGUGUACACUGUGUGAUAAAGCUUUUAACCAGAAGAGUGCCCUUCAGGUGCACAUGAAAAAGCACACAGGAGAGAGGCCUUACAAAUGUGAUUACUGUGCAAUGGGCUUUACACAGAAAAGCAAUAUGAAACUCCAUAUGAAACGAGCUCAUGGUUAUGCUGGUACUAUACAAGAAUCUGCCAGUCAACAAGAAGGGGAAGAUAUUAAUCGUGCUUUGAAUUUAGAAGAAGUUGUUCAAGAAUCUUCAAAUGAAUGGCAGAGUAUAAGCAAUGUUUUUCGAUGACACCUUAGUUGAAAGCUUUGCUUUCAGGACUUGAAUUUCUCAACAUAUGUUUUGAAAAAAGUAAAGCAUAUGGAUUUUACAGUUGAUGCUUCAAGCAUUGAAAAUAUUAACAAUAGAAUAAUAUAUUAUAGUUUUUUUAAUUAUUUACAAAAAGUACUUAAAAAGAAUCAUUGUUUUUGUAAGCUUGUUGGAAAAUAUUGAAAAAACAUCAAUUAAUCUGUGUUAAGUUGUCUACAAAUCAGUGAACUCAGCAGUGUAUCUCAUUCCAGACAAGUUGUUUGGCUGUGCAAACCUGGUUACACUUAUUGGUAACUUAUGGAGAAUGACAGCCUUUUGCUGGGAACCAAGAGGUUGCUAAUAAGCAGAAUUCACUGUACACGGAAAGUAGAUCUUUUCAGUAAGGAGGUGCCAUUUGAAAUACAUAAUCAUUUUUCCAAGAGGGCCAUGCUUUAAGACUCUUGAUCACAUACCAAUCAGGUAAUGAGUGGAUAUUUGUAAGUAUAAUAAGUAACAAGUAAACAGGGAGACUUGCCUUUUUUUCCCCGAGUUCUCAACCCACCACAAUAGGGAGAGUUCUGCCAAUUAUGGUAAAUAUCCUUUUUGAACAUUUUAAUAAGAUACAGUAUGUACUUUAAAAUCAUGCCUUGAAUGUCUUCUGCCUGACACAAAGGUAUUUAAUAUCCUUCCUUUAAACAUAGGAGCUGCUCCAGAAUACUUGGAUAAGUUUGAACUGGAAACCUUCAAAUGCAUGAUAUCUGCUGAUGCUCUGUAGAAGUGAAGAGGUUGUGACAAUUACAUUGGUGUCCAGGACAAGAUCAGGUUGUUUAGGAACUUUCUUGGUAAAAUAAAGAAAUGGAAUGUGGAGCAUGCCCUAACAGCAUCACAUUUGAGAAAGAUAACAUCAAAAAUAAACUCUGCUGUGCCCUAGAAACCCUAGUCCAUCUUGCUUUGGCAACUGGGCAUUUGCUCUCUGAGUAAGAGCAUCAUAUACCAUUGAUAGCUGAGAUGUAGUUAUUAGCAAUAAAUCAAUUUAAUUUUGCCUUGACCUAUUUUUUCUCUUGUAUUUUAAGUUUCUUUUUUUAAAAAACUGUUGUGAACACCAUUUUAUGGCUGUGCCUUGAUUGGCUACUGCAGCCCAUUUAUGAUAUUUUGUAUUUUCUCUGCCCAACCUGGAAGAGCCUUGUAUGAGAGACAUUGUGAAUCUUUUACUGGAAUACAUAGUGGUAACCUCAAAAGAAGAAACUCUCAAAUCCUCCUUCACAUAAACAGGAGAAGAUCACUAGGAAAAAAAAAAUCAUAUCAUGAAUCCUGCAAUUUUUGAUUUUCUGUCUUUUUAGAUUGUAGAUAUAAACCAUUACAAUGUAAAUAGGUUGGCUUCUAGCAGAAAACUAUUUUCAGCCAAAUAGUAUCCAGCAGAGGAGAGAACUCAUCCCUUCCUUAGUUUAUCACCCUAUGUGGUGUGAGCUUAAAGUCCUAAUUGUGAUUUAAAUGCCAACUUCAAUCCAAAUCAUACCACCUGGAUUUGUGCAUGGAGGGCUGCCUUUGGAUCUUUCCACUUCCACAGAGCAGAGGGGACUGAGCUGCCUCCCCAGAACCCGGCAGUGAUUCUAAUGUAUCUGAGGUUUAUACUGGAGGGGGUUGGAGACUGUACUGGCUGUGGGGCUGAGUGGCCAGGUUGUGAAAUUUCGCAGAAAACGUAGUAUAGCCCAAGGAUGUAUUUUCCAUGGAGCCUCCUGACCAUGGCAGUAUGGAAGAAGUUUGUGAUGAUAGAUGUCAGAGCAGCCAAUCUGUGGGAGGGGAGUCCCUCUAAUUUUUCUGUGAGGGACAAAUCAAUCCAAAAUGACACAGUAGCUUUAAGCACUAAAACAACUGCCUAAUGGCUGUGCUCAGAGUGAGUGCGAGUUCCCAGAAACAGCACUUUUUUUGUAGGAGGAUCGAAGCUCCAGCUCUUCUGUAAUAACCAACAAAAUACGACUUAGAAUCUUCUGUGCCUAGUGGCACAUGAGGUGACCCAUUUUUCCCACUGCUGUCUAUAAGUUGUUUCCAUGAUAGCAACAUCCUUUUCAGUUGUCCUGGGAUAGGUCAUUCCUUCUCCCCCAUGCCUUCUUUUUUCCAUCCAGUUGGAAUGCAAUCUAAGAUGUAGCUUGUGCUUCUCCCAUGGAGUAGCCUGAUGACAUGGGCAAACCACCAGAGUGUUUUCUAGCUGAUUUAUUAAGUCCGCAGUCUGCUGACCUGUGCAGUGCAAUGCUGCCACGUUGGUUAUACAAUUGCUCCAAUGAAUUCCAAAAUCCUUCUCAAACAAUGCUGGUGAAAUGCAUUCAGCUUCCUGUUGUGUACUUCUGACACAUUUUCGAGGAAUACAGUAAUGUUGAAAGGACAAUACCAUUGUACAAUUUCACUUCAAGAUGUAGUUGUACCCUGCUACUGUUCCAGGUGUUUGGCAAACAAGUAAUUGAUCCACUGGCUUUGCCAAUUCUUGCCCUCAAUUCUUUAAUGAGCUGACCAUUAGCAGAAAUACUUUACUUCCUAGAUCUUUUAAAAAAAAGUUGUAAACCCUUUUGUACUCUUCUCCAUCACUCACUCACACAUCUGUCAGUGUUGACCAUAUUCUCUCUUAUCUCCAUACUCUUGGUCUCAAACUCCCACUUCGGUAGCUUCCACUUUUAUACUCUCAGUUUUUUUCAUUUCCUCAAAGCUGGUAUUCAGUAUGACUGUCAUCUGAAAAAAUCUAGCUCCUGCAGCUCAUCUCUUGUCCAAACAAUGACAGUGGCCUCAAAAGCAGCUGUCACUUUUCUCAUCUCAAAGUCUAUGGCAAUGCAGAAGAGAAGCGGGGAUAGUGCUGACCCUUGCUUUACACCAGUAAGAGUCUUAAGCCAUUUUUUGUCCUGACAGCAUGCAGACUCAUUCUACCAAGCUUUUAUCCGAUUAACUGUCUUUGCUCAAAUUCCAUAGCAUUUCAGGAUCUUCCAGAGUGCUUGUCCGUGGACACUGUCAAACGCUUCUGUAAAAUCAGUGAAGUUAAAAACCAUCUUCUGCCAGUAUUCUAAACCUUGCUCAAUAAGUCUUGUCAAGGGGAAAAUUUGAUCUGAACAUGACCUAUCAGAUUAAAUUCCAGACUUCUUAUCUCUGAGUAGUUUGUCAACAGCAGUUUUCAUCCUAUUUAAAAUGAUAAUGCAAAACACUUUUCCAGGUACAGAUUGGAGUGUCAUCUAUCUCCUGUUAUCACAAAUAAAUUAAUCCACCUUUUUAGGGAUUUCACAGAUAACACCUCUUCUCCGGUCAGGAUAGGUCUUCUUUUCCGAAACCAUUCUGUACAACCUGGAUAUGUAACUCAAAUUCAUUUCUUUUUGAGCUUUUAGCAUUUAGCAUGUUUCUUAUCACAGCCUGGUGUUUUACCACUCCUUACUUGGUUCAUGGCCUUAGUUACUUCCUCAAAAGCAACUGCUCUUAGUGAUAUUGGUAAGUCCACUAUUUCUUCACAUCUUUGUGUGUAUUAGUGGUUCUGGAUGGUUGAGUACAGCCUAGAAAUGUUUCAUCCUCUGUGGCUAAAAUUGUUCCUCUCAUUAGGAUAUUAGAAAAAGUUUUUUAAAAACCCCUCACUAGCAUGCCUCCUGAGCUUCUCUUGCUUUGUUUUCUGUCCCUUUCUUAUUUCUUCUGGCUGAUCUUCUGACUUACUUGUCUUUGUCCCCAUGUUCUUGCUGUAGAACAGCAGUUUUAGUUCUGUCUCGUUGAAUUCUCUUCUUUAAUAUUUCCAUUCUUCUUUCUUAGAUCUUCUCCCCCUUACUG